UAGGGAAUCUUCCGCAAUGGACGAAAGUCUGACGGAGCAACGCCGCGUGAGUGAAGAAGGAUUUCGGUUCGUAAAACUCUGUUGUUAGGGAAGAAAAAAUGUAUAGUAACUAUAUACAAAAGAGACGGUACCUAACCAGAAAGCCACGGCUAACUACGUGCCAGCAGCCGCGGUAAUACGUAGGUGGCAAGCGUUGUCCGGAAUUAUUGGGCGUAAAGCGCGCGCAGGUGGUUUAGAAAGUCUGAUGUGAAAGCCCACGGCUCAACCGUGGAGGGUCAUUGGAAACUAAUAAACUUGAGUGCAGGAGAGAAAAGUGGAAUUCCUAGUGUAGCGGUGAAAUGCGUAGAGAUUAGGAGGAACACCGGUGGCGAAAGCGGCUUUUUGGCCCGCAACUGACACUGAGGCGCGAAAGCGUGGGGAGCAAACAGG
rnacentral:rRNA from 1 species